UGUCAACCAGAUUUUCAAUGACCAGUGCC
rnacentral:piRNA from 1 species